rnacentral:rRNA from 1 species
GGGAUUGCCUCAGUAACGGCGAGUGAAGCGGCAAUAGCUCAAAUUUGAAAUCUGGCCCCUUCGGGGUCCGAGUUGUAAUUUGUAGAGAGUGUUUCGGGUGAGAUCACGGUCUAAGUCCAUUGGAACAUGGCGUCAUAGAGGGUGAGAAUCCCGUAUGUGACUGUGGAUCGAGCCCAUGUGAAGCCUCUUCGACGAGUCGAGUUGUUUGGGAAUGCAGCUCAAAAUGGGUGGUAAAUUUCAUCUAAAGCUAAAUACUGGCUGGAGACCGAUAGCGCACAAGUAGAGUGAUCGAAAGAUGAAAAGCACUUUGGAAAGAGAGUCAAACAGUACGUGAAAUUGUUGAAAGGGAAGCGCUUGCAACCAGACCUGUCCGUAGGUGAUCAGCCGCUGUUCUCAGUGGUGCACUCGCUCUGCGAUCAGGCCAGCAUCGGUUCGGGCGGUCGGAUAAAGGCCUUGGGAAUGUAGCUUCUUUCGGGGAGCCUUAUAGCCCUCGGUGCAAUGCGGCCAGCCGGGACCGAGGACCGCGCUUCGGCUAGGAUGCUGGCGUAAUGGUUGUAAGCGACCCGUCUUGAAACACGGACCAAGGAGUCUAACAUCUAUGCGAGUGUUUGGGUGUUAAACCCAUGCGCGGAAUGAAAGUGAACGGAGGUGAGAACCCUUAAGGGCGCAUCAUCGACCGAUCCAGAUGUCUUCGGAUGGAUUUGAGUAUGAGCAUAGCUGUUGGGACCCGAAAGAUGGUGAACUAUGCCUGAAUAGGGUGAAGCCAGAGGAAACUCUGGUGGAGGCUCGCAGCGGUUCUGACGUGCAAAUCGAUCGUCAAA